rnacentral:rRNA from 1 species
GACGAACGCUGGCGGCGUGCUUAACACAUGCAAGUCGAACGGUAAGGCCCUUCGGGGUACACGAGUGGCGAACGGGUGAGUAACACGUGGGUGAUCUGCCCUGCACUUCGGGAUAAGCCUGGGAAACUGGGUCUAAUACCGGAUAGGACCACUGCCUGCAUGGGUGGUGGUGGAAAGCUUUUGGGGUGUGGGAGGGGCCCGCGGCCUAUCAGCUUGUUGGUGGGGUGAUGGCCUACCAAGGCGACGACGGGUAGCCGGCCUGAGAGGGUGACCGGCCACACUGGGACUGAGAUACGGCCCAGACUCCUACGGGAGGCAGCAGUGGGGAAUAUUGCACAAUGGGCGCAAGCCUGAUGCAGCGACGCCGCGUGAGGGAUGACGGCCUUCGGGUUGUAAACCUCUUUCAGCACCGACGAAGCGCAAGUGACGGUAGGUGCAGAAGAAGGACCGGCCAACUACGUGCCAGCAGCCGCCGCCG